CUACAGCCGAGCAAAAGGGGGAGGAGACGGGGAGGAGGAGGAGGCGCCUGAGGGAAGAUGAAAUCUCGACCACUCUCUCGUUCUUCCCCCCGCCCCGAGAAAGAGAGAAGGUGAGUGAGCAGAGCGCUUCCUUUUGUUUCUGCUUUCUGCCUGGGCCCAAAGAGGGUCAGAAGUGACAGGCGCUCUUUUGCUGAGAGGUGCUUCUCGCAACCACCCCUGGAAGCAGCAAAUGCAAGAUACAGUGGUCUCCUUUGAAGUUUAUCAAAUUGACUCAUUUGUCACAAGCAGAACCUACAAUUAGCAUGUUUCUGCAAACUGAAUAGUGGCAUGGAAAAUUGCACACUUUCCUCAUAGUGAACAAUUCAGAUGACCAUUUUGCUAUGAAGAGGGAGCCAUACAGGAAAAUGUAAAACAGCAGACAGCCAAAAGACUUGUCAUUAUAGUUCCCCAGAUUUCUUAUACAGUACUAGCAGAAAGAAAGAGAGAGAGAGAGAGAAGGAAAGAAAGAAAGAAAGCAAAAAGAGUGCAAAACCAACGUUUUCACAUAAGAUAAGGGGGCAAAGUGAUGCAAAGGCACACAGUAAAAAAAAAAAAUCGAUGCAAAGAUGUUUGCCUCUCUUUCAAAUCAGAGGUGAUAGAACCAUGUUUCCUAAUACCACAAAAAUGUACUUUAUUCACUUCUGGCAGGCUACUGGUACAACUUUUGUCUGGUGAUUAAGAAUCCCAUAUGUGGAUAACUGGAAUUUGUGCUUUGAGUUGUUCACAAACUGCUUAUAAGGCCAUGGCAAUCAAAUCACAACAGUUAGCAAUAUGGACACUAUUUAAGCAAGGAAUAUAAAAAAGUAUUGAGGUAGUUAGCCAUCCAGACACUUUCUCAUCUCCGUAUAAAACUAAAAAUAUGGAUCUAAAGCAGAGAUUCUCAGCUUUGCAACUUGUUCUUGAUUAUCAAAAUUGUUCUCCUCUAUUUCCCUUCAGAAUCUGCCUCCUUAGGUUAUCAGUCCAGGAAGGCUUCUUGCCUUGUGUUUUUCCAAUGGUAUAAUCACAUUAGCACUUAUGCCUCAUCCAGUGCACUCCUGCUGCUAAUUUUUGAAGCCGCAAUAUGUUGCUCCAUAUUAAUCCUGUAGUUCCUUGACAAAUACUGUUGCUUGCUACAUUCCCCCCAACCAGCUUUAGUUUGAUUAGAAAAUAGGGCCUGUUCAUGACCACUUGUUCCACAUUCUAACAGCCAUUGUGCAAGUGCAGGUCACCACGGAAGCACAGAUAAGAGUUUAAUGAAUAAGAGUUCCUGUUGGAUUUUCUCUCUGCGUGUGAGAGAAUCAUUUGUUCCAGAAACAGAAAAGAACAGAGAAGAAGUUUCAAGAAGAAGCAGAAGGCUGAGAUUCUUUUGUCUAUGCAAGGACAUUUUCUGUGGGAAUUGUUCUUUGGACAUGCGUAGUGUGACAGGAAAUGCUGAUAACAAGAGUUAUGUGUAACUUCUUGUAAGUCUCUUGCUUGCAUCUUACAGUGAGAGAAGUAGAGAGAGUCUUGGACUCUUGUUGGACUCUAAGCUUGCCUUGACCAUGGCAGUGGUGAAUGUCUGUAUAUAUUUGCUACCAACAUGCUUUUAUGCCUGUCAAGUAAACCUCUACACUUGACUGAA